rnacentral:rRNA from 1 species
GUGUCAGCAGCCGCGGUAAUACGUAGGGUGCAAGCGUUACUCGGAAUCACUGGGCGUAAAGGGUGCGUAGGCUGCCUAUUAAGUUGGAUGUGAAAGCCCUCGGCUUAACCGAGGAACUGCGUCCAAAACUGGUGGGCUUGGGGUUGGUAGGGGACAGUGGAACUCCAGGUGGAGCGGUGAAAUGCGUAGAGAUCUGGAGGAACUCCGGUGGCGAAAGCGACUGUCUGGGCCAUACCCGACGCUGAGGCACGAAAGCCAGGGGAGCAAACGGGAUUAGAAACCCCCGUAGUCC